AGAACAUUCAGCUGGUUUCACUGACGUCUCACUGUCAUUUCAUCUGAUGGAGCCUCUCCACAGCAGCCUGAACAGUCCAGCUGUGGAGCUGAAGAGUCUGAAGCUGUGUGACCAGGGAGGCGCAGAGUCUGCGGACAGCGGCAUCGGGGAUGCGGACGACCUGCCGGUUCCUCAGCAGAUCCGGAUCAGUAACAUCACCUGCGAUUCAUUCAAAAUCAGCUGGGACAUUGACAGCAGAGGCCAAGAGAGGAUCACUCACUACUUCAUUGACCUCAACAAGAAGGAGAACAGGAAGGAGAACAAGUUCAAACACAAGGAUGUGCCAACUAAGCUGGUGGCGAAGGCGGUUCCCUUGCCGAUGACGGUGAGAGGUCAUUGGUUCCUGAGUCCUCGUACAGAGUACACGGUGGCCGUCCAGAUGGCCGCCAAACAUCUGGACGGAGACUACAGCGUUUCUCAGUGGAGCGAGGUCAUCGAGUUCUGCACUGCAGAUUACUCCUCCGUCCAUCUGAACCAGCUGCUGCAGAAAGCCGAGGCCAUCGCCGGCAGGAUGCUGCCGUUCACUGUCUUCUACAGAAACCAGCAGAGGGAGUACUUCCAACAAGACAGCCCCUCUUAUCCUUCCAGAGACGCUCAAUGCCGCCGAAUGCUGCCGGCAGUUAAAGACAACAGUGGCAGCCACGGGUCGCCCAUCAGCGCCAAACUGGAGGGAAUCUUCUUCAGCUGCAACACAGAGUUCAACACAGGACAACCCCCCCAGGACUCCCCAUAUGGACCCUACCGCUUCCAGAUCCAAGCUGACGUCCUCUUUAACCACAACACCAACAUCUACUUUGGGGAUUUCUACUGCAUGUACACGUCCUACCACUACAUCAUCCUGGUCCUGGCUCCUGACGGCUCCAAGGGAGACGUCUUCUGUAAAGGGAGGCUGCCGGUCCUGGACAGAUCCAGCAACCGCCUCCUGACCUGCACCGAAGGGGAGGACGGCUCGCUGUCUUUUCAUCACGCUCAGGACGUCAUCCUGGAGGUGAUAUAUACGGAGCCGGUGGAUCUGUCUUUGGGAACUGUAUCACAGAUCAGCGGCCACCAGCUCAUGAGUCUGUCCACUGUCAACGCCAAGAAAGACCCAAGCUGCAAGAUCUGCAACAUCAGUGUGGGACGUUAACGGGAUCUUCAGACUGGACAACUGGCUAAUCUGCUGUUUACUAGUAGUAGCUAACAAGCUGCUAACUGAAUUCCACUACCUCACAGGAGGCUGCUGGAGGACUGAGCUGCACAUUGUCUCCUCAUCUCACUUUCUCUGAACUCAUCAUGAAACCUUCACUUCUGAUUUUCACCCUCUGAAGCUGCUCCUUAAAAACAGACGGACAAUCAUACCGAACGACGACAGACAGGAGAAACUGAACACGUCUAAGUUUGAGUUCAUGAGCCUGAGGAUACACUGACCGACCUGCAGCAGAUAGGAGAUUACAGAUUAUACUUGUCACCAUGGCAACCUCAGAGUCACAAAACUCUAUUUUUCUAAUCAGAUAAAGAUGUACAAGACACAUCCUGUUACUCUGUGAAACAGCCUCUUAAACUCAACCCUUAUUAAUCCAGUCCCAUGAGGGAUAUAAACAAGUAGCAGAAUUAGCUGUGAGCUACAACUACAACACAUUUUUUUAGCCUGUAUUUGUUUCCAUUUAGUCAAACUCUCCCUUUAACAGCAGCUGAAUCAGCUGUGAUCAGCUCCUGACUGCAGGUUAUCAUGAUGUUCACACAACUGUCACUGAAUCACUGUGAUACUGAAGGAAACUUAAAAACAGGAGGUUUCCAUGGAUUAAAUCACAUUUAUGGAUGUUCAUUCACACUGGACAUGGGCAGGUCGUCUUAUCUGCCAGCAUCUCACGCAGGUAGAUGUGAAAUAAACUCCAAUGUACUUACAUUAAGAUAACUUUAGAGGUGACUGGUGUUGACCAGAUGAAUCUUAAACUGUAAAAAAUCUCCAAAAACAGAAAAUGUGGUGACAAUUAAAAGUUACAAUAUUUAGUCUGAGGCACUGUUUUGGUUCAGUUGCUUUUGACUUGGCUUAAAAACAUAAAAGUGUAGACAAAGAAAAAGUUGCUUUGUCUACACUCCUGUGUUUCAACUUGGAGAAGAAAGUAAUUUUUCAUGGAACUUUGGAAUUAUUUAAUUCUAUAGUUACACAUCCGUCUUCCACCAUGACCAUAAAAGAUCCUUGAAAACCUGAAAUGAAUCAAAUAAAAGUGGUCAACUGAUCAAACAACACAAUAAAUUUUCCCUAAAGCUGAUAGUAAAUGAAUGUGGAUUACACAGCAGUUCCUUGUCUAUAUUGAUAAUAAUAAAGACAUUGUGGAUGUCUAUAAUGUCUGUUGUGUGAAGGAUAAUAUAAUAGUAUUGUCACAUGAAAGACAUUGUCUUGAAAGCUUGAACCGUUCUAGAGGAUAGACUGGCAAUUGACCUAUUACACAGAGACAUACAUUAGAUAUCUAAUCAAAUAUCAACAGACAAAGAUCCUACCUAUGCUCUCCAGUUUUUUCCCAGUGUCCAUUGGUUGAUCCUCUGGAGAUGACCCUUUGACCCAUGUUGUGAUUGUGCAUCGCACUGACUGUCUGUUUGUGAGAGAACAGUCCUUUAUCUGUGGUUACUAAAAAAAUGAUAGUUUGAUGGUGGGAAGAGUAAGAAAGUAAGAAAGUUGGGUCCAUAACUCUGCAUGUCCUUACAAUGAACUUCUUUAAUGGUUUGUGACUGAUGCCAGACCAGGUGUGUCCGCUACAAUAACAUCCUCAGGAAGUGUAAGUCACACCGAAUCUAAAACUAUGUGAUUAAAGUCUGUGUUCACAUUUGACUGAGUUAUGACUCAGCAUAAAGGCAGCAAGUUUAUCUGACAUGGGAUAUUUGCCUCAAAAUACUAAAUUGAUGAAAGUGGUGAACAUACCUGCUAAUCAUAUCAUCAUAGUAGUUGUAGCAUGCUAGCAUUAUUUUAGCAUUUAGCCUAAAGUAUCUCUGAUUCUACUGCAUAGAUUUCAAUUGUUUUUUAAACUGUCCAUCGACUGUGUUGUAGACGCGACAUGAUGAA